rnacentral:lncRNA from 1 species
UUUGUGUCUUUGUGAGCGCCGCCCGAGCUCCAUUCCCUCAGUCCCUCUCCCCUCUCCUAGUCUUCCUCUCCUCCGGACCUCCGCCCUCUCCUCCCCCUUGCCGACUCCUUCCGCCUCCCCGUCGACGGCGACCGCAGCGGCUCGACGGGUUCCUAGGACGUUGCUUCCGCCUUCUUGGGGCUUUUCGUCGUCUCGCGACUUGCCGGCGGACGGUGACUGCUUUGUCUUCUCCACGGCGACGGCCUCCGUCUCCUGCCCUAUCCGUGCGUUCUCUCCCCUUCUCCGCUAGUAGUAUAGUCAUGCUAUCUCUGAUUUCCUUCCGCCAUCUCUUUCUGUCUCUGUUUCUUGAUCUUAGGGAUCUUGGAUCUCAAAGCGGCGGAGGACGUGAGGGCGCUCUUUCUCUUCUUCAAAGCGGCGACUACUGUGGAGUCCAGCAGCGCUGCAGCAGGUAUGCCGGUGGAGGGAAAUGGUUUGGUUUUUACUUUUUAUGGUUUGAUUCAUGGCGAAGGCUAGGGCUUCCAGAUUUUUUCCCCCACCCGAAUCGAAGCCGUCGAUGAUUUCCGGAGAGAAAAAAAUUUGGGGAUGGCGCCUAGAAUCCUAGAUCAGAGAUUUUGAGGGCUCCCGUUUCCAUUUUCUUUUAUUUUUUCCAAUAAAAAAAUUGUAAUCUGUUAAUUUCUCUCCUCCCCUUGUUCCUCUCCGUGUUUUCUUUUUACUUAAUUUCUGGUUAAAUUUAUUUUUUUAAAAAAAUUGCUUGACCGUGUUAAUAUUGGUGGAUUUAUUGUUGGCACUGUCCAUGGCUUAUAUGCUAACUAUCUAAUUUAACUAUUUAAGUCCAAUAGUUAAACGAGUCGGGUUGGGUUAAAUGGGUUAGCUGUUUGUUAAACGGGUUAAACGGGUCGGGUUACCCAUUUAAUAAACAUGUCAGGUUCAGGUUGUAAUUUUCUAACCUGUUUAAUAAACAGGUCGGGUUCAGGUUUAUGAUUUUUUGACCCGACUUGCAUCUGAUCCGACCUGUUUAUGUCCGACCCAACCCGAUUGCCACCCCUAAUAAGCAAUCAUUAGCUAAUUGUUUGGCACAAAGCUUUUCUCGCCAUCUCGGGAUGGGCGUGCCAGAGAGCUUGUUUGAUAAAUCCUCGUGGCAAGUGGUAAAAAGAUGCAUAGGCAUGCCACCGGCGUUAGAGCAACCGAAAAGAGGAUAAUUGAAGGAAGGAUAUCAAACUAGCGUUUGUCCAAGUGCUUGGACCUUCAAGGACUUUUGCCAUUGUCAUAUUGCCGUUCGAAAGAAAAUGGAGAGGGAUAGGAUGUAGCCUGAGCUACGGUAGGAAAAAUAUAAGUCAUUUUGGAAUAUCAAAGUCAUUUUGAGCGGCUUGUCAAUAGAGCUUGUAAUUGGCCAAAACGGUAACUUGUUGGAACUUUUAUUGAAGGACUUUGCUCAUACAUUCAUUGUGAGAUGAAGAUGUAUAAGCCCUACAUUAUAUUGGUAGCUAUCUCUUUUGCCCGAUUAUGAAAGGAAAGACUCAUUAAAAAUACCUCAUGCUUAAACAAGAGAGUAAAUAACAAGAAAUUCGUAAAUUUCAAGAAGAUACACUCAACAACAAAUAUGUUAAGUGGCUUACACAAGAGGAUCUCAUGGACAGAAUAAGCCAAGGCAAAUGUUAGCAUUGUGAUGAAAAAUGGCAUAGAGAAAAUUGCUAGAAAAAGAUAAUUUUUCUUAUCGAACCUGCACAUAUUGACACUUCACAAGAUGAAGAAGAUGAAGAUGAUCGCCAUGUACCACCUAGACAAAUAUAAUCUUGAGAACAAGAUCAUCUAGAAGUGAAAGGGAAUGAUAUGCUUCUUAUCUUAGGAUCCUAAUUUUAAUUUGAUUUAGCACAAGAAUUAGGAGGAGUCCAAGUUUAAUAAAGAUUGGCUACAUCAUAUUCCUAUUUUGCUUUUUCUUAUUCUUGUAGGACAAUUAACUCUGAAUCUAUAUAUACGUAGUGCUCUAGACAAGCAAUGAAUUUAAUAAAAAUAGUGUAAAGGCUAUUCGAGGUCCAAAACCUCUUGAAUUGAUCGAAUACUCUUUCUUCUACCUAUAUCUCUAUUUUUCUAUUUUCUUUUGCUCGAAAUUCUAUCAAUAGUAAGUGGGUUCCUAUCAAACAGAAUACAUACACAUAUAUAUACGACUUUUCAAAAACUAGUCUCGCAUUAUAAAAAUUUCAUCAUGACAUGAAGAUGAAAUAUCUUUUUUUCGUAUCCUAACAUCGAACUAGAAAGAGGAGACUAACUGAACAAAUUUAGUUCAAUGUCGAGAAGUUAUGUAAUUUAAAAACUAUCCUUACUGCAAGGAGAGGGGAAAACCUAUGAUUUAAACCCACCCCCCACCCCAACCUUCGGGGCGUCUCAUGGCCUGCUUUCACCUGUUCUCCGAACCUAAAGCGGUGAUUUUUCACGAAGCUUGUCGAAAGAAAUCAAACAAAUGGAUUAUCGCAUUUCAAUAGUUUAAUGGGUUAUCAUCUUCGAAUCAAAAUUUACAACAAUUCAAAAAACUAGAAUAGUAUAUUAGAGAGACAGAGAGAGAGAGACCUGCCGGUCGCCGGUCCGAGGUUACAGAGGUUGAGCUUUGAGGGUGAGUCGAGAGAGAUCUGCAGCCGCCCAACAGGAACCCUAGUCCUUAAAUCCAAGGAGGCCCUUGGCAAAGCAAAUGGGCCGAGUUAAUUUUGUCUAGGGCUAAUCCCGGCUCGAUUCCGUUUAACGUGAGCUAGGAAAGGGGAUUGUGGGACAAGAUCCCGCCCCCCAGCCCCACUGGCGUCUCUAGGUUACUAGGCUCGUCUUGGAAGUUUAUUUGGAUAAUUGGGCUGAAAAUCUUAUGAAAUUUAUGGACUAAGGCCUUGUUUGGAGGAGCUUUUGAAGGGCCAAAAAGCACUUUCUAAUUGUGAAACAAUUGAAGAUGAAUGGUAAGAAAAGGAUAUGCAUAGAUGUACCUACUCGUUGGAAUUCUACAUAUCUCAUGUUAAACGAUGUUAUACAAUUCAAGGAUGUAUUUAUGCGACUUGUGGCCCGGGAUUCUAAUAAACAUUUGAAAAGCUGGGUGUUCAACUGUUGUAAAUGGCAUCUCUUGUAAAAUUACCAUCCUUUACUUCAUCUAUUUUCUCAAAAGGCCAUAAAAACAGAUUUUAAUGCAUCUAAAAGCAGAAAUUAAAAUUUUUUUCCCUAAAACGUGAUUCAAAAGAUGCAUACAAACAUAGAAAAUAAAAAUACUUUUUCUUGCACAGAAGAGAGUCUAAUCCACGGCUAGGGUUCUUUGUUAGGGCAGAUUUUUAGGUUUAUAAAGGGACAAAGUAUGUAAUUAUUAUAUUUUAUUAUGGGUAUUUUGGUGAAAAAAAGCUUUCCGACAAAGCUCAAAAUAGCUUUUUCGAAAAGCUCCAAAUUGGAGCUUUUUUUAAAAAGCUGUUUUUAGCUUUCUGAAAAAGCUAAAACAGCUUUUCCAAAAUUUUUACCAAAUAUCUUUUUUUAAUCCAAAAGUGCUUUAGGAGGGCCAGAAAGUGCUUUUUGGCCCUUCAAAAGCUCCUCCAAACAAGGCCUUAGUCCAUAAAUUUCAUAAGAUUUUCAGCCCAAUUAUCCAAAUAAACUUCCAAGACGAGCCUAGUAACCUAGAGACGCCAGUGGGGCUGGGGGGCGGGAUCUUGUCCCACAAUCCCCUUUCCUAGCUCACGUUAAACGGAAUCGAGCCGGGAUUAGCCCUAGACAAAAUUAACUCGGCCCAUUUGCUUUGCCAAGGGCCUCCUUGGAUUUAAGGACUAGGGUUCCUGUUGGGCGGCUGCAGAUCUCUCUCGACUCACCCUCAAAGCUCAACCUCUGUAACCUCGGACCGGCGACCGGCAGGUCUCUCUCUCUCUGUCUCUCUAAUAUACUAUUCUAGUUUUUUGAAUUGUUGUAAAUUUUGAUUCGAAGAUGAUAACCCAUUAAACUAUUGAAAUGCGAUAAUCCAUUUGUUUGAUUUCUUUCGACAAGCUUCGUGAAAAAUCACCGCUUUAGGUUCGGAGAACAGGUGAAAGCAGGCCAUGAGACGCCCCGAAGGUUGGGGUGGGGGGUGGGUUUAAAUCAUAGGUUUUCCCCUCUCCUUGCAGUAAGGAUAGUUUUUAAAUUACAUAACUUCUCGACAUUGAACUAAAUUUGUUCAGUUAGUCUCCUCUUUCUAGUUCGAUGUUAGGAUACGAAAAAAAGAUAUUUCAUCUUCAUGUCAUGAUGAAAUUUUUAUAAUGCGAGACUAGUUUUUGAAAAGUCGUAUAUAUAUGUGUAUGUAUUCUGUUUGAUAGGAACCCACUUACUAUUGAUAGAAUUUCGAGCAAAAGAAAAUAGAAAAAUAGAGAUAUAGGUAGAAGAAAGAGUAUUCGAUCAAUUCAAGAGGUUUUGGACCUCGAAUAGCCUUUACACUAUUUUUAUUAAAUUCAUUGCUUGUCUAGAGCACUACGUAUAUAUAGAUUCAGAGUUAAUUGUCCUACAAGAAUAAGAAAAAGCAAAAUAGGAAUAUGAUGUAGCCAAUCUUUAUUAAACUUGGACUCCUCCUAAUUCUUGUGCUAAAUCAAAUUAAAAUUAGGAUCCUAAGAUAAGAAGCAUAUCAUUCCCUUUCACUUCUAGAUGAUCUUGUUCUCAAGAUUAUAUUUGUCUAGGUGGUACAUGGCGAUCAUCUUCAUCUUCUUCAUCUUGUGAAGUGUCAAUAUGUGCAGGUUCGAUAAGAAAAAUUAUCUUUUUCUAGCAAUUUUCUCUAUGCCAUUUUUCAUCACAAUGCUAACAUUUGCCUUGGCUUAUUCUGUCCAUGAGAUCCUCUUGUGUAAGCCACUUAACAUAUUUGUUGUUGAGUGUAUCUUCUUGAAAUUUACGAAUUUCUUGUUAUUUACUCUCUUGUUUAAGCAUGAGGUAUUUUUAAUGAGUCUUUCCUUUCAUAAUCGGGCAAAAGAGAUAGCUACCAAUAUAAUGUAGGGCUUAUACAUCUUCAUCUCACAAUGAAUGUAUGAGCAAAGUCCUUCAAUAAAAGUUCCAACAAGUUACCGUUUUGGCCAAUUACAAGCUCUAUUGACAAGCCGCUCAAAAUGACUUUGAUAUUCCAAAAUGACUUAAAUUUUUCCUACCGUAGCUCAGGCUACAUCCUAUCCCUCUCCAUUUUCUUUCGAACGGCAAUAUGAUAAUGGCAAAAGUCCUUAAAGGUCCAAGCACUUGGACAAACGCUAGUUUGAUAUCCUUCCUUCAAUUAUCCUCUUUUCGGUUGCUCUAACGCCGGUGGCAUGCCUAUGCAUCUUUUUACCACUUGCCACGAGGAUUUAUCAAACAAGCUCUCUGGCACGCCCAUCCCGAGAUGGCGAGAAAAGCUUUGUGCCAAACAGUUAGCUAAUGAUUGCUUAUUAGGGGUGACAAUCGGGUUGGGUCGGACAUAAACAGGUCCGAUCAUAUGCAAGUCGGGUCAAAAAAUCAUAAACCUGAACCCGACCUGUUUAUUAAACAGGUUAGAAAAUUACAACCUGAACCUGACCUGUUUAUUAAAUGGGUAACCUGACCCGUUUAACCCGUUUAACAAACAGCUAACCCGUUUAACCCAGCCCGACUCGUUUAACCUAACCCGACCCGUUUAACUAUUGGACUUAAAUAGUUAAAUUAGAUAGUUGGCGUAUAAGCCAUGGACAGUGCCAACAAUAAAUCCACCAAUAUUAACACGGUCAAGCAAUUUUUUAAAAAAAAUAAAUUUAACCAGAAAUUAAGUAAAAAGAAAACACGGAGAGGAACAAGGGAAGGAGAGAAAUUAACAGAUUACAAUUUUUUUAUUGGAAAAAAUAAAAGAAAAUGGAAACGGGAGCCCUCAAAAUCUCUGAUCUAGGAUUCUAGGCGCCAUCCCCAAAUUUUUUUCUCUCCGGAAAUCAUCGACGGCUUCGAUUCGGGUGGGGGAAAAAAUCUGGAAGCCCUAGCCUUCGCCAUGAAUCAAACCAUAAAAAGUAAAAACCAAACCAUUUCCCUCCACCGGCAUACCUGCUGCAGCGCUGCUGGACUCCACAGUAGUCGCCGCUUUGAAGAAGAGAAAGAGCGCCCUCACGUCCUCCGCCGCUUUGAGAUCCAAGAUCCCUAAGAUCAAGAAACAGAGACAGAAAGAGAUGGCGGAAGGAAAUCAGAGAUAGCAUGACUAUACUACUAGCGGAGAAGGGGAGAGAACGCACGGAUAGGGCAGGAGACGGAGGCCGUCGCCGUGGAGAAGACAAAGCAGUCACCGUCCGCCGGCAAGUCGCGAGACGACGAAAAGCCCCAAGAAGGCGGAAGCAACGUCCUAGGAACCCGUCGAGCCGCUGCGGUCGCCGUCGACGGGGAGGCGGAAGGAGUCGGCAAGGGGGAGGAGAGGGCGGAGGUCCGGAGGAGAGGAAGACUAGGAGAGGGGAGAGGGACUGAGGGAAUGGAGCUCGGGCGGCGCUCACAAAGACACAAACCCUAAGCGACGCCUUUUACGUCCAAUCAACCUCGCGGUGAAACUGUGAAACCGGACGGUGGACCUCGCGGUGAAAGCGGGCCGAAGCGGGGAGUUGGGCCGAGGCGGUGAAAGCGGGCCGAGGCAGGGAGUGAAAUUGAGUUUUCUCAUGACAGAAAGAUUAAUCAACAGAUACAAAUCCUUUUGACCUAACUACAGACCAUCUAACUGAUUUGCAACUCGGGCAACUUCAUUGUAUUUAAGUUGGUAGAUACAGAAAGUGAAAAUUACAGCAAACAUCAAAAUUGCCUAUAUGCAAAUGCAAUAAGGCUGAAGAAGGAAAAUUAUGAUUAAACCGUUUCUCAGAGGGGAUGUACCAUUGCUAUACAUUCUUAAAAUAGAAAAGAAACAUAGAUGAAGAUUAAAUUUUGAAGGCAUAACUAAGUGUUUUAAAAAUAUAUAAAGUAAUGCAUCAUUUUCAUAAUUAUUGUUUUAUGAGUUCACUUCACUUUGGAAACCAACUAGAGCACUAUACACCGCCAAGAUUUCUUUCCCAAUACUCGAAGUCGUCCCCAAAUGCUGGAGAGGCUUACAUUGUAUAAGCAAUAGGGGUGGUAAAAUAUGAUCCAACCCGCCAUAAACAGAUUUGGGUUUGGCUUAAACAGGUUCGGGUCGUAAACAGGUUGAUCCGUUUAACCUGUUUAUUAAUUGGGUCGGAUACAGAUUUUAAAUUUCUGACCCGUUUAAUCUGUAUAACCUGUUUAAUUGUUGGGCUAAUAUAUAAGGGCCAGCCAUACUCCCUGCCUCGGCCCGCUUUCACCGCCUCGGCCCAACUCCCCGCUUCGGCCCGCUUUCACCGCGAGGUCCACCGUCCGGUUUCACAGUUUCACCGCGAGGUUGAUUGGACGUAAAAGGCGUCGCUUAGGGUUUGUGUCUUUGUGAGCGCCGCCCGAGCUCCAUUCCCUCAGUCCCUCUCCCCUCUCCUAGUCUUCCUCUCCUCCGGACCUCCGCCCUCUCCUCCCCCUUGCCGACUCCUUCCGCCUCCCCGUCGACGGCGACCGCAGCGGCUCGACGGGUUCCUAGGACGUUGCUUCCGCCUUCUUGGGGCUUUUCGUCGUCUCGCGACUUGCCGGCGGACGGUGACUGCUUUGUCUUCUCCACGGCGACGGCCUCCGUCUCCUGCCCUAUCCGUGCGUUCUCUCCCCUUCUCCGCUAGUAGUAUAGUCAUGCUAUCUCUGAUUUCCUUCCGCCAUCUCUUUCUGUCUCUGUUUCUUGAUCUUAGGGAUCUUGGAUCUCAAAGCGGCGGAGGACGUGAGGGCGCUCUUUCUCUUCUUCAAAGCGGCGACUACUGUGGAGUCCAGCAGCGCUGCAGCAGGUAUGCCGGUGGAGGGAAAUGGUUUGGUUUUUACUUUUUAUGGUUUGAUUCAUGGCGAAGGCUAGGGCUUCCAGAUUUUUUCCCCCACCCGAAUCGAAGCCGUCGAUGAUUUCCGGAGAGAAAAAAAUUUGGGGAUGGCGCCUAGAAUCCUAGAUCAGAGAUUUUGAGGGCUCCCGUUUCCAUUUUCUUUUAUUUUUUCCAAUAAAAAAAUUGUAAUCUGUUAAUUUCUCUCCN